UACGGAGGGGGCAAGCGUUGUCCGGAAUCAUUGGGCGUAAAGAGCGUGUAGGCGGUUUGGCAAGUCUGGGGUGAAAUCUUGCGGCUCAACCGCAAGCGGUCACUGGAAACUGCCUCGCUAGAGUCCGGAAGAGGAGAGCGGAAUUCCUGGUGUAGCGGUGGAAUGCGCAGAUAUCAGGAAGAACACCCGUGGCGAAGGCGGCUCUCUGGGACGGUACUGACGCUGAGACGCGAAAGCGUGGGGAGCGAACAGG
rnacentral:rRNA from 1 species